CACAACAGUCUUUCUUGGAAGAGCACAUUCUUGAGGUCUCAGCAUGUGGCUGGGUGCAGUGUUUGCUGUAAGAAACUGGAUAAAUGUUUGCAAGUGCCUGCCCUGUGUCAGGUGCUAUGCCCUGGGGAUGGUGAGUGGCCUGGCUGCUAUUCUCUUUCUGUGUACUGCAAGCAAAGGUAUGGCACAGACUUGGAGUCUGCAUGGACAGGGUAGUCCAUCUGAGGACAUUGGACUGAGCAAAAAUAAUCACAGUGAAGCAUGGAGUUUAUAAAAUAUGUAGACACAUGUGUGUGACAUAAGCAGGGGAUGGAGAAAUGGAGCCGUUCUGUUGCAAAAUUUCCUAUAACCCUACUUGGAGGCAGACAUGAGAAAUCCUGGAUCUCUCACCUUGAUCCUAAACAAUGUAAAACUGAAGAAUGGACAAGUUUGAGUGACUGGAGGCUAAACUCCAUUCCUUAAUAACUGGAUGCAAGGGAGAAGAUUUGGAAAAUUUUAUUAAUAGCAAAGACAAGUAUCUCUAAGAGACCCAACCUCAAGAACUCCAGGUCCUGAACUGCUAUGAACACACUAUGGGGUCCUUGGAAAGCCAUCCAGCCUUCUGGGCUCAGUUCCCUCCUCUGAGAAAUGACUGCUAAGGGCUCAUUCAGCAUGAAGACACUAGGAGUCUGAAGAACAAUAAAACCUAUUUCCUAGCUGUACCUGGGGGUCUCAGCAAUAGGUCUUUAAGGUCUUUUAAGAAGUGCUUUAAAGAAUAGCAGGAGUAAAUAACAAUAUAAAGACCACGAUGGUAGAGGAAUAAAAUAAAUAGAUGACUUCGGACACUGGAA